GACGAACGCUGGCGGCGUGCUUAACACAUGCAAGUCGAACGGAAAGGCCCUGCUUUUGUGGGGUGCUCGAGUGGCGAACGGGUGAGUAACACGUGAGUAACCUGCCCUUGACUUUGGGAUAACUUCAGGAAACUGGGGCUAAUACCGGAUAGGAGCUCCUGCUGCAUGGUGGGGGUUGGAAAGUUUCGGCGGUUGGGGAUGGACUCGCGGCUUAUCAGCUUGUUGGUGGGGUAGUGGCUUACCAAGGCUUUGACGGGUAGCCGGCCUGAGAGGGUGACCGGCCACAUUGGGCCUGAGAUACGGCCCAGACUCCUACGGGAGGCAGCAGUGGGGAAUAUUGCACAAUGGGCGAAAGCCUGAUGCAGCAACGCCGCGUGCGGGAUGACGGCCUUCGGGUUGUAAACCGCUUUCGCCUGUGACGAAGCGUGAGUGACGGUAAUGGGUAAAGAGGCACCGGCUAACUACGUG
rnacentral:rRNA from 1 species